rnacentral:rRNA from 1 species
CUGGGCGUAAAGCGAGCGCAGACGGUUACUUAAGCAGGAUGUGAAAUCCCCGGGCUCAACCUGGGAACUGCGUUCUGAACUGGGUGACUAGAGUGUGUCAGAGGGAGGUAGAAUUCCACGUGUAGCAGUGAAAUGCGUAGAUAUAUGGAGGAACACCGGUGGCGAAAGCGGCUCUCUGGCUUGUAACUGACGCUGAGGCUCGAAAGCGUGGGGAGCAAACAGGAUUAGAUACCCUGGUAGUCCACGCCGUAAACGAUGAGUGCUAGGUGUUAGACCCUUUCCGGGGUUUAGUGCCGCAGCUAACGCAUUAAGCACUCCGCCUGGGGAGUACGACCGCAAGGUUGAAACUCAAAGGAAUUGACGGGGGCCCGCACAAGCGGAGGAACAUGUGGUUUAAUUCGAUGAUACGCGAGGAACCUUACCCGGGAUUGAAAUGUAGAUGACCGCUCCUGAAAGGGAGUUUUCCUUCGGGACAUCUAUGUAGGUGCUGCAUGGUUGUCGUCAGCUCGUGUCGUGAG